rnacentral:rRNA from 1 species
UACAGAGGUCUCAAGCGUUGUUCGGAUUCAUUGGGCGUAAAGGGUGCGUAGGCGGCGCGGUAAGUCGGGUGUGAAAUUUCGAGGCUUAACUUCGAAACUGCAUUCGAUACUGCCGUGCUAGAGGACUGGAGAGGAGACUGGAAUUUACGGUGUAGCGGUGAAAUGCGCAGAUAUCAGGAGGAACACCGGUGGCGAAGGCGGUGAUCUGGGCCGACACUGACGCUGUAGAGCGAAAGCGUGGGGAGCGAACAGG